GACGAACGCUGGCGGCGUGCUUAACACAUGCAAGUCGAGCGAGGCCCCUCCUUCGGGAGGAUGUCCUAGCGGCGAACGGGUGAGUAACACGUGGGCAACCUGCCCUCAGCUCUGGGAUAACUCCGGGAAACCGGGGCUAAUACCGGAUACGACCUCCACGGGCAUCUGCGGAGGUGGAAAGUUUUUCGGCUGAGGAUGGGCCCGCGGCCUAUCAGCUAGUUGGUGGGGUAGUGGCCCACCAAGGCGACGACGGGUAGCCGGCCUGAGAGGGCGACCGGCCACACUGGGACUGAGACACGGCCCAGACUCCUACGGGAGGCAGCAGUGGGGAAUAUUGCGCAAUGGGCGAAAGCCUGACGCAGCGACGCCGCGUGAGGGACGAAGGCCUUCGGGUUGUAAACCUCUUUCAGCAGGGACGAAGCGAAAGUGACGGUACCUGCAGAAGAAGCACCGGCCAACUACGUG
rnacentral:rRNA from 1 species